rnacentral:pre_miRNA from 14 species
UCGAUACUCGAUACGUCCCAAAUCUCCAUAAAUCCCGGUUUUAUCACGAAUUGAAGUGAUAACUGGGAUUCUGUGGAGAUCUGGGCUUCGAGACAGAU